rnacentral:rRNA from 1 species
GAUGAACGCUGGCGGCGUGCCUAAUACAUGCAAGUCGAGCGAACAGACGAGGAGCUUGCUCCUCUGACGUUAGCGGCGGACGGGUGAGUAACACGUGGAUAACCUACCUAUAAGACUGGGAUAACUUCGGGAAACCGGAGCUAAUACCGGAUAAUAUAUUGAACCGCAUGGUUCAAUAGUGAAAGACGGUUUUGCUGUCACUUAUAGAUGGAUCCGCGCCGCAUUAGCUAGUUGGUAAGGUAACGGCUUACCAAGGCAACGAUGCGUAGCCGACCUGAGAGGGUGGGGGCACACACGGGACUUGACACCGGUCCCGGCCCCAUACGGGAGGAGAAGGUAGGGAUUCUCCCAGAGAGGGCAAAGCCCUGAGGGAUCCCCGCGGCGGGAGUGAUGAGGGUCUUCGUAUCAAAAACCUUUUUUAUGGGAGAAAAAAAAAUGUUUAAGUAACUCGGCGCGUCUGGAGGGUCCCUAAUAGAAAGCCCGGGACAAGGCCGGGC